UACGAAGGGGGCGCGCGUUGUUCGGAUUUACUGGGCGUAAAGGGCGCGUAGGCGGCUUGGCAAGUGGAUGGUGAAAUCCCUCGGCUUAACCGAGGAACUGCCGUCCAAACUGCUUCGCUUGAGACCGGGAGAGGUGAGUGGAAUUCCCAGUGUAGCGGUGAAAUGCGUAGAUAUUGGGAGGAACACCAGUGGCGAAGGCGGCUCACUGGACCGGUACUGACGCUGAUGCGCGAAAGCGUGGGGAGCAAACGGG
rnacentral:rRNA from 1 species